AAAAACCACUAGGGGUGCUCGUUAUUGAGCUGAGAGAGGCUGUUCACGCCUUAACCCUCCUAACCUGAUCUGGAUUAUACCAGCGUAGGAAAGUGGUGAAGGCACUGU
rnacentral:ncRNA from 2 species